CCUACGGGGGGCAGCAGUGGGGAAUAUUGCACAAUGGGGGAAACCCUGAUGCAGCAACGCCGCGUGAGUGAAGAAGGUUUUCGGAUUGUAAAGCUCUGUUAGCAGGGAAGAGGAAGGACGGUACCUGACCAAGAAGCCCCGGCUAACUACGUGCCAGCAGCCGCGGUAAUACGUAGGGGGCAAGCGUUAUCCGGAAUUACUGGGUGUAAAGGGAGCGUAGACGGUUAAGUAAGUCUGGAGUGAAAGGCCGGGGCCCAACCCCGGGACUGCUCUGGAAACUAUUCAACUUGAGUGCAGGAGAGGUAAGCGGAAUUCCUAGUGUAGCGGUGAAAUGCGUAGAUAUUAGGAGGAACACCAGUGGCGAAGGCGGCUUACUGGACUGUAACUGACGUUGAGGCUCGAAAGCGUGGGGAGCAAACAGGAUUAGAUACCCGGGUAGUC
rnacentral:rRNA from 1 species